GACAAAUACGCAUUUGUACAGUGCCCGGCGUGUGUGCUGCAUGGCGCCAUAUGGCCUCUUCGUCGUACUGCAACCACCACGAGACUAGGCAGAGCACAACAGCACAUGGAACGAUUACCACAAAGAAUGGCGUCAAUUUCUAAUCUGGCGAUUGUAUUUUUCGCCAUUGUUGCUCUGACAUUGCUGGCCGUUCUUGUAUCUGUAUGUCAAGAUGAUCUAUCGCUGAUUUCGUCAUUGUCAACGAAGGCAAGUUGAGACUUAAAUGAUUUUUUAAAUAUUGACGAUAUU